UACGUAGGGCGCAAGCGUUGUCCGGAAUUAUUGGGCGUAAAGAGCUUGUAGGUGGUUUGUCGCGUCUGCUGUGAAAAUCCGAGGCUCAACCUCGGACUUGCAGUGGGUACGGGCAGACUAGAGUGUGGUAGGGGAGACUGGAAUUCCUGGUGUAGCGGUGGAAUGCGCAGAUAUCAGGAGGGAACACCGGUGGGCGAAGGCGGGUCUCUGGGCCGUAACUGGACGCUGGAGGAGCGAAA
rnacentral:rRNA from 1 species